rnacentral:rRNA from 1 species
GACGAACGCUGGCGGCGUGCUUAACACAUGCAAGUCGAACGAUGAUGCUGGAGCUUGCUCCAGUUGAUUAGUGGCGAACGGGUGAGUAACACGUGAGCAAUCUGCCCUUGACUCUGGGAUAACUGCGGGAAACUGUAGCUAAUACCGGAUACUUCCACCGGAAGGCAUCUUCUGGUGAUGAAAGAAUUUCGGUCAGGGAUGAGCUCGCGGCCUAUCAGCUUGUUGGUGAGGUAACGGCUCACCAAGGCGACGACGGGUAACCGGCCUGAGAGGGUGACCGGUCACACUGGGACUGAGACACGGCCCAGACUCCUACGGGAGGCAGCAGUGGGGAAUAUUGCACAAUGGGCGCAAGCCUGAUGCAGCAACGCCGCGUGAGGGAUGAAGGCCUUCGGGUUGUAAACCUCUUUCAGCAUCGACGAAGCGAAAGUGACGGUAGGUGCAGAAGAAGGACCGGCCAACUACGUGCCAGCCGCCGCGGUAA